UAACGACCUGCAUAAUACAUAGAGAAAAUUUGGGAAAAACAAAGAAAUAUAAAUAAGAGGAAAAUAAAUACCUCUUUCUCCUGAAUGAUACCCGUUUUCCACAUACUGGGUGACUACUGAAGCCCACCUGAUCGUGUCAGAAGAGUUUCAAGUGGCCUCCUAACCUUGCUGGGGGCCAGCGUCCAGCCCUUCAGGAAUACCCCACUCCUGCCUCGUCCCUCUGCUACUGCAAGGACCAGGACUUUCAGGCAUCAGCAGAUGGCCCAAGAGGCUCUUUGGGAGACAACCCUGAGCCUGAAGCUAGUGUUAGCUUUAGCUUUGCCUGACUGCCCCCCACCACCAGGGAUCCGCUCACCCCUUCCCUUGCGUGGAACAUGUGUGGUGCUCCACACACCUUCUUUUCUUUUUUUUUGUUUUUUUUUUUGUUUUUUUUUUAAUCUACAGAUAGUGAUGUAACUGGUGUAUUUGUGCACAAAAGUAACCUAGCAUUCCGGAUGAGUACACAGGAGACAAACUCAUUGAAACUGCACGCCCCAGCGACGUGCUGGGUCUGGACCCAGUGGGUGGGCCCCAGAGUCUCUUUGUUGUUCCGCUUUGUUUUCAGCAGCUCAGGUUAUGAUGAUGAGACACAGCCAGCUCUGGCAGACAGCGUGGGUGUGUGGAUGACCCGCCUCACUCACGGCGGGCCCCUUUCCCUCACACCUCAGUGUCCCGGUUUCAGCCACGGGGUUAAAAAUAACCACAGUAACAAACAAAAGCAAAAUAACAACAAGAAAACUUCAACAGCAUUAAAAGGGAAUUUACUGACGGAAAACCCAAAGCCUAGAAAGGCGAGACCUAAGGAGACCCCAAUCCGCAUGGCUGCGAGACCCAAGGUGACUCCAAUCCGCAUGGCUGCGAGACCUAAGGUGGCCCCAAUCCACAUGGCUUCAAGACCCGAGGUGACCCUAAUCCACAUGGCUUUGAGACCCAAGGUGACCCCAAUCCGCAUGGCUACAAGACCCGAGGUGACCCCAAUCCACAUGGCUGCAAGACCCAAGGUGACCCCAAUCCACAUGGCUGUGAGACCCAAGGUGACCCCAAUCCACAUGGCUGCAAGACCCAAGGUGACCGCAAUCCACAUGUGGCUGCAGAGACCUAAGGUGACCCCAAUCCACAUGGCUGCAGAGCAAGUCGGAAAGCACCUGUCACUGGUUGAGCGUGGACAUUGCCUCUUACGUGGCUAGGGCCAGUGGCCAGCGGUGACUAGUGUUGUCAAAGAAAGCCAGGGACAAGCUCUGACCCUCAGAGGGUGUGAGCAGACAGGAGGAGAAUGCUGGGGCCUUGCCCCCAGCAGAAGGAAGGGGGCCCCACAAUGACAAAAUUACAUUUUCUUCUUGCCUAACAAAUCCUUUUCCUUCCACCAAAUUGUAAAAUUAAUGUGAUUUUAGCGUGUCCAAAUUAAUGUGACCAACCAUAAAACUACUUCUCCAUACCACUACUUGGAUUAUUCUCCUCUCUCUUUAUAGGAAUAAGUAUUUUUUGUCUCCUCCCACCCCCAUUUUAAUAUUUUUGUUUGUUAGUUUCUCUACUACCCCUUCCUCCAGCCCCACCGGCAGGAGCUGAGCAGGGUUUAUCUGCUGUGAAUUCUUCCACACCAUCCUAUGGUCACCUCAACCCAUCUGUAGCUUGUGUUUUUCUUCUUUUCAAAACUACUCAAUGGGCCAGGAAUGGUAACUCAAGCAUGUCAUCCCAGCACUUUGGGAGGCUGAGGCAGGAGGAUGACUUGAGCUCAGGUGUUCAAGACCAGCCUGGGUGACAAAGCAAAACCCCAUCUAUACAAAAAGAACAAUUAAAAAAAUUAGCAGGUGUGGUGGUACACACCUGUAGUCCCAGCUACUAGGGAGGCUGAGGUGGGAGGAUGGCUUGGGCCAGGAGGUCGAGGCUGCAGUGAGAUUGUGCCACUGCACUCCAGCCUAAGUGACGGAGCCAGACCCCAUCUCAAAAAUUAAAAAUAACUCAACAACUUGCCAUUUUACUCAGUUAACACACACAUGUGCAACGCCAACACAUAAAGCGCUAACACGCUCACACUGCCAGCAGCAUACUGCUCAGCAUUGCGGCUACUGAGUCAUCAUCUGUCCUACCAUUCCCCGUCACUCUAAAGACUGGCUGAUGGCCGCUCUUGCCCUUGCUCACCAGGUGAUCAGUGACUCCCCCGAUGUCAUUACUCCCCGACGCUCGAAGUUAGAUUCCUCCACAUCAGACUGCAGGGUCAAAUUUUAUGCGUGUUUCAAAUUUCCAAAACAAUGGUCAGAUUUUCCUCUCUCACAAACUUACAGCAAUUUAGGCAGCCAGAUGCAGUUUACGAGCAGCUGCUUUCCCACACACACCCCCAGCCUUAGGUGUUAUCGAUCUUUUAUUUUCCCCAUCUGAAUUCUCUCCAGAUUCAUAUCUCCGUCGCAUCUCAGCUGGAAGGAAACAUCUAUUUCCCCCUCCAUUAGCGCUGGCUCCAGUUCCCUUCCCCGCUGUGUGCGGGGGGAUCCUGGUGGCUGAACUGGGGCUCCAGGAGAAGGCACGACACCACCUGUGCAAAUGCUGGUCAGUCUGUUUCCCCCCACACCUCACUCCUCAGAGGAUUUGAAGUGGUUGCCCUGAUCUUCCUGGGUUCUCCUCGGAGGAGGCCCCUUCAUUUGCCUCUGAAUCCAAGCAGCAACCCAUGACCUCACGCUCCCCGCCCAGGGAGACGGGCCUGAGGGCCGGGAGGGCACUGAGUCAGGGAAGUGAGUCAUCGUCCAAGCCACAGCACCCACCGUGCCCAUGGUGCCUGUGCUCUGUGCAGGGCCUCUGCCCACUGUCAGCCCGUAGUGACCCACUCAGGCCUCACAAUGACCCCACGAGUAGCUGCUGCUGCUGCCCCUCAUACAGAGGAGGCCACUGAGUCACAGGCACAUCACUUGCCCAAGGCCAUGAGCUGACAAGCUGGCCUGGGAGGCUUCAAGCCAGGGAGACUAGCCCCAGAGACCCUGUGCUUAGCUGCCUGCCAAGGCCCAGGAGCUUCCCCUAGAGGCUGGUGUGACCUAGCAAGACGCCCACAGCACCUGCUCCAUUUGUCCUUGACCUAAACAUGGCCUUUGUCACUUCCACCUGCAGCUGCAGGCAAUAGGAAUAAAAGGGGAAAAUACACACACACAUACAUACAAACACACACAUACACAUGUAUAUACAUACAUGCACACAUGGGGGGAAUGGGAACACGUGUGUAAGCAUAUGUAGAGGGGAGAUAAUCAACUAUACCAAAAAUCAGUAUUUCCCAAACCAAAUCUUCCCUCCCCAAGAUAUGAAUGUUCCAGAAAAUGUUAUGUCUUACCUCAACUAAAAUGUUCCAUGGUUAGUUACCUGGAGGAAGCAGAAUUUACCAAAUGUAACUAACCAGCCAUCUCUCAGGGCUUUGCAACAGGUCAGAGGUUCUGGGCAUCCUGCUGUGGAGGGAGCUGUUUCACUACGUUCAAGUCAGCAUUUCCCAAACCUAUUUGAUUUCCAGCUUUCUGCAAGUGUGCACGCAUCCAUCUCUUUAUUCAACAAGAUGUCGUGUAUCUGCAUCUGCUAUGCAAACCCAUCUCCCACCCUCCUAGAACUCUGUCCAGUGGCAGAAAUCAAUGUUAAUAAAAUCACCAAGUGCAGGGAAAGUGAUGACUGUAAUACAUGUUAGGGCCAACCAAGUGAGCUGUGUUACAAAGCCUGAAAGUCAAAGCCGACCUCAUCUGAGAAGCUGAAGAAGGCCUCCCCGCUGAGGAAGUGAGGAGACAGGUGCAAAAUUAUCUUGAAGGGGCAAACUGAAGCCGGAGAUGUUCACUAUUCAAAUCAGGAAGAGCUUUGGGAAUAGAGAGCCCCACAGGCGCUAAGGUGUCAUGAGGGAGGGAAUAUGGCAGACUUAACAGAAAGAACCCAACAGACAGUCAGUAAAAAGAACCCAAUAGUCACACCUGUAAUCCCAGCACUUUGGGAGGCCGAGGCAGGUGGAUCACCUGAGGUCAGGAGUUCAAGACCAGCCUGGUCAACAUGGUGAAACCCUGUCUCUACUAAAAAUGCAAAAAUUAGCCAGGCAUGGUGGUGGGCACCUGUGAUCCCAGCUACUUGGGAGGCUGAGGCUGGAGAAUCACCUGAACCCAUGAGGUGGAGGUUCCAGUGAGCCAAGAUCACACCAUUGCACUCCAGUCUAGGCAACAAGAGCUAAACUCUGAAAAAAGAAAGAAAAGAAAAGAAAAGAAAAGAAAGAAGGAAGGAAGGAAGGAAGGGGAGAGAAAGAGAAAGAAAGAAGAGAAGGAAGGAAGGAAGGAAGGAAGGAAGGAAGGAAGGAAGGAAGGAAGGAAGGAAAGAAAGAAGGAAAGAAAGAAAAGAAAAGAAAAGAAAAGAAAGAAAGAAAGAAAGAAAGAAAGAAAGGAAAGAAAGAAGGAAAGAAAGAAAGAAAAGAAAAAGAAAGAGAGAGAGAAAGAAAGAAGAAAAGAAAGAAAGAAAGAAAGAAAGAAAGAAAGAAAGAAAGAAAGAAAGAAAGAAAGAAAGAAAGAAAGGAAGGAAGGAAGGAAGGAAGGACAGGAAGGAAGGAAGGAAGGAAGGAAGGAGAGAGAGAGAGAAAGAAAGAAAGAACCCAACAGAAAAACAAGGCAAUGGGAACAAAGAAAGCAAGUGCCUGGAGGUGUCGCUGGAAAUGCAGAUAGGGCAGAGAGCACCCAGACUGAAACAUAUUAGCAUAUUAGCAUCAUGGUAAAGCCCUCAGCCCAAGUCCCCUGGAACACAGCCGUAGUCAACCAAGUUGGGAUUGAUUAUUAGCUUCCUACAGCAAGGGAGAUCAUACACACAAGUGCCAUCUGCCUCUCCCUUCACCCAGCUUGAGUUUCGCUUGUAGCAUCGAUCCUUGCCUGGAAUUCUAUGGUGUUUGGCUUUUUGUUGGUUUAUGUUUGUCUCCUCACUGGGUACCAGCUCCAAGAUGGCAGGGACCUUGUCCAUGUGUUGACCAUAUCGCCAGUCUCUCAUGCAAAGUAAGUGCUCAAUAAACAUUUUCAAAGUGAAUGAAUGAUGGUGGGAAUGAACGUAGGAGUGACAUUUUCUGAGGUAGGGUACAUGGAAAGAGACCAGGUAAGAGGAUAAAAUGAUGACCCUUUAAAUAUAUGUAAAAUGUAUGUAUAUAAAAUAUAUUUAUAUGUAUAUAAAAUAUAUGUUGAGCUCUGAGAUCUGAGUUACCUCUGAGCCACACUCAGUUAGACAGCUCAGGAUGUGGACUGAAGCUCAGAGGAGAGCUGCAGGGUAGAUAGAAAGAGGGGUGAAGGCAACAGUUAAAGGUGUGGUUAUGAACAAGUUCACUUAGGGAGAAAGUAUCGAGUAGGAAGUAAAGCAGGCCUACAUAUGAAUUUUGAAGAAUGCAAACAUUUCAUGGCCAGAAAGAGGAGAUAAGCCUCCAAAAAAAAAAAAUAGAGCUGAGGCACCCCAGAGUGGUAGAUGGAAAAUAGGGGAUGCAGCACCAGGAAAGCCAGGAAAGAAGGGGUGCUGGGGGGUAGCACGGAGAUCAGUGGCAAAGGUUGUGAGCAGUCUGAAGUUAGCUCUGAAAGAUGUGUAUUGGACAGAGUGAUAGCAAGGUCAUCGGUAAUUUUGGGAAAAGCUAUUUUAUUAGAAUAAUGGACGUGAGAGCCAGAUUAUCAUUGAUUGAAAAGUCAGUAGAAGGUUAGAAAAUGAAGGCAGCAAAUAUAGACAACACUCCUGGGAAAUGUAGCUUCAAAGGUGAGAGGAGCAAUCACGC
ensembl:lncRNA